GACGAACGCUGGCGGCGUGCUUAACACAUGCAAGUCGAACGGAAAGGCCCUGCUUUUGUGGGGUGCUCGAGUGGCGAACGGGUGAGUAACACGUGAGUAAUCUGCCCUUGACUUUGGGAUAACUUCAGGAAACUGGGGCUAAUACCGGCUACGAGCUCCUGCUGCACGGUGGGGGUUGGAAAUUUACGGUGGUUGGGGAUGGACUCGCGGCAUAUCAGCUUGUUGGUGGGGUAGUGGCUUACCAAGGCUUUGACGGGUAGCCGGCCUGAGAGGGUGACCGGCCACAUUGGGACUGAGAUACGGCCCAGACUCCUACGGGAGGCAGCAGUGGGAAAUAUUGCACGAUGGGCGGAAGCCUGAUGCAGCAACGCCGCGUGCGGGAUGACGGCCUUCGGGUUGUAAACCGCUUUCGCCUGUGACGAAGCGUGAGUGACGGUAAUGGGUAAAGAAGCACCGGCUAACUACGUG
rnacentral:rRNA from 1 species